AGGGCCUCUGGCCUGCACAACAUGGACAUGGGCAGAAUGGUUUUUCCUAACCAGGCCUUCUGGGUUGCAGCAGGACAGCAUGUGUCUGCUCCUCAAAUGUAACAGAUUGUCUCUGGAAACCGGGAAAUCUGACCAGAAGGCCCUUCGCCGCCCAGGCUCCGUAGCUUCUGCAGUGAUGAGGCCUGGCCACCAGAUGGCUCCACAGAGACCACUGCGCUCUCAGGGGCCGGGAGGUUGGGAAGAUCUAGGGGAGGACAUGGAAUUGGAUUCUCACCUGGGGAAGCUCUGCCCAGUUAAAUUGAGUGACUUGCCUAAAGCAACUAAGGAGUGACCCAAGGCCCAGAUCGACUGACGUUUGCUGCUCUCCUCAGGGAAGAGGGAAGUACCAUGUCUGUAACCCCUACCAUUGUCCAGGCUUCUGGCGAGGUACUUUGCUCUAAAGCAUGAUGUGAGCUAGGUUUAUUGGCCUAUUUCUUUAUCUGCAGAUCUGUAGAUGAGGACAACGA